rnacentral:rRNA from 1 species
CUUGACAUGGCAGGAAUCCCGGAGAGAUUUGGGAGUGCUCGAAAGAGAACCUGCACACAGGUGCUGCAUGGCUGUCGUCAGCUCGUGUCGUGAGAUGUUGGGUUAAGUCCCGCAACGAGCGCAACCCUUGUCAUUAGUUGCUACGAAAGGGCACUCUAAUGAGACUGCCGGUGACAAACCGGAGGAAGGUGGGGAUGACGUCAAGUCCUCAUGGCCCUUAUGGGUAG